AGUCGGUGUGCAACAAAGAUACAAGGCUCCAUCUUUGGGAUGAAACUCCGAGUAACAGUCUUUUGUUAUAUUUCUGCUGCUUUUAUAUAUAUAUCUACGCACACACACACUAUUAUUUGUAGCUUCAUCUAACUCGAGUCCCACCAAAUGAUUUCACGCCUCUCAAAGUUUCAGAAUUCUUACGACAUAAAUACCACCUCCACACACACACACACACACACACACACACAUGACACUUCCAGAAAGCGAUUCCUCCCCAAAUCCUCCACCUUCGCAUCCCAGGUGAUCGUGUUACUCAUUACGCCACCAGUUUUCGUACAGUCACUUAGCAGUUAGCGUGUAGGUUAUUCUGCUGUUUAUCAAAGAAAUUCUAUCUAUGAUGAGAAUUAAUUACAAGAAUAUGCAUACUUAUUAAUUAGCAAUAAAGAUUUAAAUAAAUACUAUAAAACAUUUACAAAUAUUAAUUAUUUGCAGAUAUUAAAAAAAGCGCUGCUAUUUUUAGCAUUCAGUGUCUAUGAGCAACCGUCAAAUGUUACAUAACGCGGCGUUCACCUGUCUCUGUCAGCGUUUUCUAUUCAGAAGGUGAGACCGGAAAGCUUUGGAAAUUGAAAUGUUAAUCGGCCGAAGACCGUUGUUACUGAUCCAAGCUAACCAGGAAAAAAAACUAAAAAUGGUAACGGGAAAAAAACUUUUAGUAAAGUAUUGAAAAAUUCCGUAACGUUGAGAUUAGCACAGGCUUUUUGUUACGGGGCAGAUAUCAUCUACUCUGGCGUGUGGACUCAACGCGAUAUCUAAAAGGAUGAUUGUAAACACAAAUAAUGUAUGGUUAGUGAAAGAAGAGAGGUGGAUCUACUGGAAGUUUCUAUCCUGGUUUUAUGCAGUGAAAGAGUGAAAAUAAUUGCCCAAGUAUAAUUUCGAUCAAUCAAAAUAUCGCAAAGGUAAUUCAAUCUUUUUAUCACAGAGAAAAGAAGGAUAAUCAACAUCACUGGACUUGAAAUUUCGAAGACUACAUGAGCGCUUUCUGCGGACCAUAUCGACUCAGUUGUUAACGAGUGGGCCUUGGAUACACCAAAGACCCAAAUAUUAUUUGAUGUUACGUGAAGAAGCUCUCCCGAGGGAUUAGUGUAUAGUUAAUCAUAUUCGCUUUUCCAAAGUUUAAGAACAUUUUUGUCAUUCGACUCCCAUCACAUAGAUCAGAAUGCAGGUCUGUGUUCGAUCAAAUGCUGCUCCCUUGAGGACUUUUUGGCGUUCAAGUCAUUUGCGAAGCAUCCUCCUACGUUUGGUGUCAUUUUGCAACGUCAUUUAUGGAAACAAUAAACUUUUAAAGACUC